AGUGAACGCUGGCGGUAGGCCUAACACAUGCAAGUCGAACGGCAGCACAGUAAGAGCUUGCUCUUACGGGUGGCGAGUGGCGGACGGGUGAGGAAUACAUCGGAAUCUACUUUUUCGUGGGGGAUAACGUAGGGAAACUUACGCUAAUACCGCAUACGACCUACGGGUGAAAGCAGGGGAUCUUCGGACCUUGCGCGAUUGAAUGAGCCGAUGUCGGAUUAGCUAGUUGGCGGGGUAAAGGCCCACCAAGGCGACGAUCCGUAGCUGGUCUGAGAGGAUGAUCAGCCACACUGGAACUGAGACACGGUCCAGACUCCUACGGGAGGCAGCAGUGGGGAAUAUUGGACAAUGGGCGCAAGCCUGAUCCAGCCAUACCCCGUGGGUGAAGAAGGCCUUCGGGUUGUAAAGCCCUUUUGUUGGGAAAGAAAAGCAGCAGGUUAAUACCCCGCUGUUCUGACGGUACCCAAAGAAUAAGCACCGGCUAACUUCGU
rnacentral:rRNA from 1 species